CAGCCCCACGCGCGCGGAGGUCGGUGCACGCGCGGAGGGACGGCGUGUUUUUCCCGUGGUCCCGGCCGUGUACGGGUUGCCGGCUCCUUGACGGAGCCGUAGCGGUUCAACAGCCGUGCGCCGGUGCUCGYGGGGCUGCAGCAGGAGGGUGCCGGCAGGCCCGUGUUGACAGAGGCUUGGCACCGAGCGCGGAAAAGCGAGUCCUCGCCCUGCCGGGCUCCCUGUGGCGGUUCCCCGUGGUUUUGCGGAGAGGUGAAGCGACUCGCCUGCAGCCGCCCGGCAAGCACGUGUUGCGCGGGAGCCGGUGUAGGCGCCCCGUGGGAGCAGCGAGCCCUGGCUCCGUCACGGGGCUCGGGGUUGGAGGCUCCCCGCUCUAUCGGGUCCCUUCCUCYGCCCUACCCUGGGGAACAGCGCCCACAAGCCUGGGGCUCGGGGCAUAACUUUCCCCUUCAAAAUUCUUAUUUCUUGUCCCCUCCUGGGCGCAACACCCCAGCUGCUUCCCUCUCGCCGGGAGGGUCCGAAUUGCCGCGGCGAGUGGUGCUCACAGGUUUCCAAAGGGUCUGGCUGUGUUUGUCCGGGGCAUCCUGGUGGAGAGGGACUUGCGAUGUGAAGUUUGCCGGUGGCUCCCUGGAGCGCCGUGCAUGGGUUUCCUCACCCUUGGAGGGCUCUCCUAAUGCCGCGGUGGUGCUGCUGCCAAGCAGCCCUCCGCUUCACUCCUAGUAUCAAGCCGGAAAGCUUUCAGCRUGUUUCUUCCCUGAAACCAGACUGUUUUGCAGAAAGCGCAACUUCAGAUGAUAAAUCAGACCGGUGUUCCUUGGAGUCGUAGCGGGUCAAGCAUCCCAGGUUUCCGUGCAGGCAGGUGCGGGAGCAAACUUGUCCUUACUGGGGUCUCCUGGUUUUCCUCCGUGCGUUUGAUAGCACUUUGUGCCUUGUUUUGUGGCAACUGCUCCAGAGUCAGGCACGUAUCAGUUCUUCACAGUUUUUGUUGCAAGUAUUGGCGUAUUCGGAUGUCUUUAUUCUUUGUUUAAAACCUCAGUUUUUGGAGUGCUCUGACUGUGGGAGAAUUCUGGUUUCCAUUGAAGAAGAAAAGAAUAUGAUCUCUGCCCUCCUGAUUUUGAGUAAAUCCCAUGUCUGCGACCCAGAGGCACCUUAAAGACUCAGGAAACAAGUGAAAGGCAGGCGAAGUGUGUUGCUUUUAAAAAGGAAAAGGCACGUUAUGAUCUGAGGGGAGACAGGUUCACGUUUGAAUCCAUGGGUUUGGCGAUGCGGGGCUUUCUCUGUUGUUUGGCGUGGACUUUUCCUUGCGGCCGCAGCGGAUUAUAGCAGGUGUAGACUAGGAAGAAGCUAGUGAAAAGCCACAGAAGUGAGCUUGUGUGCAACAGUGCGUUGGACUGGGGCAGGACCUGGCGCCCCUUCUGCCCGCUCUUUGGGGAGAGUGGCUAGCCUACCUCCCUAAGCAUCCUGAGGGAUGCGGGAUCUGAGGAGGGGUGGACCAGAUCAGCCUGAAGGUCUGUUCAGUGUCCUGCGGCUGGCAGGGGGACGCUGCCGGCUGCCGCAGAGGUUGUCCUCCGUGGGUGUCUCCAGGAAAGCCUGCCUGCGAAGCAGCAUUUUCCACCAGACCCUUCUCGCUCUGGCUCUGCCGCCAGGAACCUUUCAGCUCCUUUUGGAGGCAUUUUGAAUCUUGUCCAGCAUCGCCCUGGUUUGUGCCAGAGCUCUGCAC
rnacentral:lncRNA from 1 species